rnacentral:rRNA from 1 species
GAUGAACGCUAGCGGCAGGCUUAAUACAUGCAAGUCGAACGGUAAGUUUGGUAGCAAUAUCAAACCAAGAGUGACGUACGGGUGCGUAACACGUAUGCAACCUACCUUGUACAGGAGUAUAGCUCGGGGAAACUCGAAUUAACCCUCCAUGAGAUCAUAGAAUGGCAUCAUUUAGUGAUUAAAACUCAGGUGGUACAAGAUGGGCAUGCGUCUGAUUAGAGUUGGCGGGGUAAU